GACGUAGGGUGCGAGCGUUGUCCGGAUUUAUUGGGCGUAAAGAGCUCGUAGGCGGCUCGUCGCGUCAGCUGUGAAAACCCGCAGCUUAACUGUGGGCUUGCAGCUGAUACGGGCGGGCUAGAGUUCGGUAGGGGAGACUGGAAUUCUUGGUGUAGCGGUGAAAUGCGCAGAUAUCAGGAGGAACACCGGUGGCGAAGGCGGGUCUCUGGGCCGAUACUGACGCUGAGGAGCGAAAGCGUGGGGAGCGAACAGG
rnacentral:rRNA from 1 species